rnacentral:rRNA from 1 species
AGCGAACGCUGGCGGCAGGCUUAACACAUGCAAGUCGAGCGGACCUUUCGGGGUCAGCGGCGGACGGGUUAGUAACGCGUGGGAACGUGCCUUCCGCUUCGGAAUAACCCCGGGAAACUAGGGCUAAUACCGGAUACGCCCUUAUGGGGAAAGGUUUACUGCCGGAAGAUCGGCCCGCGUCUGAUUAGCUAGUUGGUGGGGUAACGGCCUACCAAGGCGACGAUCAGUAGCUGGUCUGAGAGGAUGAUCAGCCACACUGGGACUGAGACACGUCCCAGCCAUUAGACGAAGGCAGCAGUGGGUGCUAUUGGAAAAUGGGAGCAAGGCUAAACCAGCCAUGCCGCGUGAGUGAUGAAGGGAUUAGGGUUGUAAAGAUCUUUUAUCAGGGACGAUAAUGGCGGUACCGAAGGAAUAAGCCAGGGCUAACUUCGUG